rnacentral:rRNA from 1 species
GACGAACGCUGGCGGCGUGCUUAACACAAGCAAGUCGAGCGGUAAGGCUCCUUCGGGAGUACACGAGCGGCGAACGGGUGAGUAACACGUGAGCAAUCUGCCCUUCUCAUCGGAAUAACCAUUGGAAACGAUGGCUAAUGCCGAAUACGACUUCCUUUCGCACGUCAGGAAGUGGAAAGCUCCGGCGGAGAAGGAUGAGCUCGCGGCCUAUCAGCUUGUUGGUGAGGUAAUGGCUCACCAAGGCGACGACGGGUAGCCGGCCGUGAGAGGGUGACCGGCCACACUGGGACUGAGACACGGCCCAGACUCCUACGGGAGGCAGCAGUGGGGAAUAUUGGACAAUGGGCGAAAGCCUGAUCCAGCAACGCCGCGUGAGGAAUGACGGCCUUCGGGUUGUAAACCUCUUUCAGCAGGGACGAAGCGAAAGUGACGGUACCUGCAGAAGAAGGACCGGCCAACUACGUGCCAGCCGCCGCGGUAA